rnacentral:rRNA from 1 species
UACGUAGGGUGCGAGCGUUAAUCGGAAUUACUGGGCGUAAAGUGUGCGCAGGCGGCCGCGCAAGUCGAGUGUGAAAGCCCCGGGCUUAACUUGGGAAUUGCGCUCGAAACUACGUGGCUGGAGUGUGGCAGAGGAAGGUGGAAUUCCUGGUGUAGCGGUGAAAUGCGCAGAUAUCAGGAGGAACACCGGCGGCGAAGGCGGCACUCUGGGCCGGUACUGACGCUGAGGAGCGAAAGCGUGGGUAGCAAACAGG